CGUGUAGGCGGCUUGCUAAGUCUUGCGUGAAAUCUCGGGGCUCAACCCCGAGCGGUCGUGAGAAACUGGCAGGCUAGAGUGCGGGAGAGGAGAGUGGAAUUCCUGGUGUAGCGGUGAAAUGCGCAGAUAUCAGGAAGAACACCCGUGGCGAAGGCGGCUCUCUGGAACGCAACUGACGCUGAGCGCGAAGCGUGGGAGCAAACA
rnacentral:rRNA from 1 species